CUCCGCGCACUACCCUGGGCCCGCCCCCUUUUCAGUCCAGGCCCGGCUUCCGCCCGGUCUCCUGGCAACGCUGCGGCCCCGCCCACGUCAUGGCGCCUGAGGAGAACGCGGGUACCAAACUCUUGCUGCAGAGUUUCGAGCGCCGCUUCCUAGCGGCGCGCACACUGCGCUCCUUCCCCUGGCAGGUGGGCGGCGGGGCGAGCGGAGAGGCCUGCGGGGCUUGCGGAAGUCCAGGGGCAGACGGGAUGGGUCUCCCUGCUGAAACCCCCGGCGCUCCUGCCACGUGAGUUCCUGGGCUCUCCCCGGUCAGGGCCACGAGACCCGGUCCCCGUCCCUGGGGCCUGGCCAGAGUCGCUCUCACCCCUCCUGCCCCGCGAGCUGGCGGCGGAAGCUGGGGGCGUCUCCACAGUCUUGGGGGGCAGACGCGCGCUCGGUGUGGGGUACAGUUCACGAUCAUUUUCAUGACUUUUUAAAGGCAGUAAUCGUUCUGGUCACUGGGACACAGCUGCCCUCGCCCAUUCUAAAAAGUCAGCACCCUCAGGCCCGCGGGUAACCACCUCCUCCUGAGCACGGUGACCAGGUCAAAGGCUGUCCCUCGGGCCUCAGUGUUCUCAUCUGUAUGUCGAGCACUGCACAGAAUCAGCUCAUGCGCUGAGGCUUUCACUCCUGUGAUGGAAGAGACAGAGAAGGGGGUGGCCUCUCCUCUCCCUGGGGACCUGCCAUUCUCAGCACAGGCGCAUGGCAGGCAGCAGCCUCCCUUCUGCCAGCAGAGGGGCUUAAUGCACCCUGCUCCAUUUGUAAUUCAUGUGCGGUGAGCUCACUGGGAUGAGUCAGUUUGGAUAUAUAUUCCUCCCUGGGUCUGCCCCAUUUUAUGGGGUGUUGCUUAAUCAUUUGCGUUAUUCCAUUGACAUGAAAUAUUUAGCACUCAGAGAUCAUUUCUGGUCAGGAGAAAUUUGUGCAUUUUUAACCCAAAAUAGAAACCUUCAUAAAAGCAUCAUAGGUCUCCAUUCAGUAUUGACUAUAAUUGUUCACAUGCCCACGCUGAAUGCUAACUUGGGCUCACCAUCAACACCCACGAGGUGGGUACUAUUAUUAUCACUCACAUUUGACCAGAGGGAUUGUUUGAUUAGGGUGUAGUAGUUGAGAGUUCAGACCCAGGAGACAGCCUGCCUGCUUCAAAUCCUGGCCCAACCCCUGGCCCUGUGUGACCUUGGGCAAGUGACUGCAUCUCUCUGUGCUGUUGUUUUCUUAUUAAUAAAAUGGUUGAUAUAAUGAUACCUACCUCUUAGGGUUGUUGUCAGCGUUGAGUACAAAAGCCUGUGGAUCAGUGCCUGGCUCAUGGCAAAUGCAUGUCGGUGUUAGCUAGUGUUUUUAUUCAGUCUCAAAAUGUUUAAUAAAUGCCUUCCGUGAGCCAAGCACCAUGGAUCAGCAGUACCCAUGAUAGAUGAGGCUCUGCUUGCAUGGGAGAGCUAGAGAAUAAACAAAUAAAUGAAUAAACAAGAAAAGACCAGAUGAGAGUGGCUUUAAAGCCAAGAAAACAGGGGAAUGGUGAAUGGACCAACUGGGAAGAAGAGUCACUAAAGUCGGGGAAUCAGGGAAGCCUUCCCCAAAGACGUGGCAUUUGAACUGGGGCCUGAGUGGUGAAGCAGCCAGCCAUGGGAAGGGUUUGGGGAACAGGAUAUGCAAAGGCCCUGUGGUGGAAACAAGCCAGCUGUGGUUGAGGAACAACAGCAAUGCAGCCAGUGUGGCUGGAGUGGAGUGAGCAGUGUGGGCCAGGGGUGAGGGAGAACAGGCCAGAGAGAGGGAUUAGGACCAGGUCUUGUAGGGCCUUUUAUGGCAUGGAAGGAGCUCUGAAGCAAUGAAGUGCCUUGCUGUGUGUCACAUACCAGCCGAGACAGUCUGCCUAACUCGGGAGCCAAAGCUUGCUGCUGGACUUGCCACUGUAAGAGGACAAUGUAACCCAGGCUGGUAUGGGCACAUUCUGCAUUUCCACUUAAACUCAGAUGGCAAGCCCAUCAAACCUUGGUGCCAUGGCUGCCCUGGUAAUUCCUGGCUGACCAGUGCAACCAGGGAGCUGGCCCAUGACCCGGGUGGCCGCUAAGUAGCCAGGACUAAUGCGGCCAAGAGUCAGCCUUCUUCCUGUGACUCAUCCAGGUGCACCCUGCGACAUCUGAAGGUCAGGCUUUCAGCCGCUGUGGCUUCCACUUCCAACUGGCUCCGCGUCCCCAGGGAGGGAUCACAUAGCGCUUUGCCAACACAUUCUAUUGCGUGUUUUAAUGUUCCUGUGAAUGCGCCCUUGAGAUUUCUCUCUCUCCCGUCCACACGGAGCUUAGAAGCAAAAUUAAGAGACUCAUCAGAUUCUGAGCUGCUGCGGGAUAUUUUGCAGAAGGUAAGAAUUCCAGAGUCCCUGGGACUCAUGACCCUGCCUCCUGAAUCUCUCCGGAAGACCUGAGAGAAGAACCACAGGUUCUUUAAAAACACCCCUGUUCAAAGAACAAAACCAUUGAGUCAGCACUGCAGGUAGGUGUCAGCACCUCCGACAGCUCCUGCGCUUUUGUUUUCUAUCUAAGACUUAGACAAAGACAUCAGAAUAUACAAAAAUCUGCAUGAGGGGGGAAAUCUAGGGAAUGUUUUUUAAACUAUCCUCAGCAAAAACAGAGAUGACAGGUGCAAAACAGCUUCUAGCAUUUGGUGGAUGCUCAGAGACUUUCUUUUUUGCAUUCCUGAGGCCUGUCCUGCCCACUCCUGUCUCCUCUAGACCUAAAUGGGCCCUUGCUUUGCCCAGGGUGGGGUUUGGACUCAAGUGCAUCUGCAUGCAGGUGACAGCCAGGAUCACCACCCGGCCCAGCCACAGCGUGACCUUGGCCUUGAGGGCCAAGUGCAGAUCACCCUGCAUCCUGGGUCUUCACCUUCGAAGGGCCAUGAGCCCUUCAGAAAAGACAAAGCAAUAGACUCCCUCCCAGAAAGAAGUGCACCAGAAGAAUACAUUUUCCAUACAAACUCAGGGGAGGCAGACAUCCUCCACCCCCACCCACCCAGCCCAUCCUAGGAGCCCCAGUGAAGAAUUCCUGUGCUAGAGGUGAACCAAGAUGAUCCACUUGGAAAAGAUGCAGCCACAGCAGGGAAGACUUUCGGGGCAAUACAGUAGGUCAGGGCUUCGAGCAUGGAGAUACCUGAAGUUAUCUCGCACCCUGCUCUGAGUUUCACCCUGAGCCUCACUCUCGUAGGUGGUGAAGCAUGAAAUGUAGGGAGAGCUGCUUUAAAACCCAGCACAAGGCUGGGUGCACUGGUUCACACCUGUAAUCCCAGGACAUUGGGAGGCUGAGGUGGACGGAUCACCUAAGGUCAGGAGUUCAAGACCAGCCUAGCCAACAUGGCAAAAACCCAUCUCUACUAAAAAUUUAAAAAAUUAGCUGGGCGUGGUGGUGCACGCCUAUAGUCCCAGCUACUUGGGAGGCUGAGGCAGGAGAAUCGCUUGAACCCAGGAGGCGGAGGCUGCGGUUAGCCAAGAUCGGGCCACUGCACUCCAGCCUGGGCAACAGAGAGAGACUGUGUCAGAAAAAAUGAAAAACCAGCACCAGCAUGAAGAGCCUGUGUAUUGCAUGGGGUACUUUGCUGCCCUUGGGCAGAAUCUGCAUCCCUCCCAGCCAGCAGGCACUGCGGACUGUCUCCUCCCUCUCCCUCCAGGCUCCUGUUUUCCCACCGUCCCCACUCCUGCUGCACCAGUGCAUCUGCCCUCCUUUCCAAGUGCCAGCCUGUGGCCACCUCAGAGCUUGCACCAGCUGUUCCCACUGCCUGGAACUUGCUCAUCCUGCACUUGGCUUCUCUCGGCUUUAGCUGGAGUGUCACCCUGAGCGUCCCCUCCCCUCCAUCCUGUCCCCAGGGACACACACUCCAAGAGAGCAGUUGCCGAGUGGGCCUUCCCGCCUCUUCCAUAGAGCCAGACAGUUGGCGACUGUCCUUACUGCAAGCCCUGGUUCACACUGGCUCCCCUGGGAGGGAGGUGGUUUAGGCCCACGUGCCCUGUGUUCCUGCUCAGAAUGGGCAUUAGAAAUGCUGCAAUAUCCUGUGCCACUGCAGUGGAAGCAUCUUUAGGAAACGGCUUAUAUCUUAAGACAAACUUCAGAUGCGUGGGGCCAGAACGCCGUGUCCAUCUACAUCUUUGCUGAGGGAUCGGGUAGCCUGGAGUUUGCCCUCUGCUGUGUUGGCUUGAAGCUCAUAGGAGACUUAAGACGGGCUCUCGAGCAACCAACGUUCUGUCCUUUGCUGUAGACUGUGAAGCAUCCUGUGUGUGUGAAGCACCCGCCAUCAGUCAAGUGUGCCCAGUGCUUUCUCUCAGAACUCAUCAAAAAUGUCAGCAAUGGGCAGUGUCCGCCCAGUAGCUGGACAGCAUAGCCACCUGCGUGCUGGAGCCCCCGUCCUUCCCAGGCCCUGGGCCUGCUUUGCCAAUACCAGCAUGGCAGGGGCCUCCCCAGGCAACUGGCUGCAGCUGAGUGUGACCCAUGGGAGACAGUGCAGGGCAGGAAGAAGGGGAGACCAGCGUCUCUCCCUCACUCUGCCUCAUGGGGUUUCCACAGCAGCUGCUUCUCUGGGGCCCCAGCUCCUAGAAUAUGAAUUCUCAUUCCUACCAGGCUGGUCCAGCCCACAGCACUGGAACCCUCAUCCACACCCUCUGUCCUGCCCGCUGAAGGGUUUGGAGUUUCCUGCUCUUGUCUGUCUCUGGGUUGCCCCACAGGCCCCUGUUGGAAGAUUUAGCUCUUGCCAUACCUUUGGAACUAGUUCCUCUGUGAAUUCUCUGCAUUGAUCCUGCUGGAAUGAGCUCUUUCCUGACUGAUACAGGAUGGAUUUUAUUUUUUACUUAUUUAUUUAGUUUUUUGAGACAGUCUCACUGUGGUGCCCAGGCUGGAUUACCGUGGCACAAUCUCGGCUCACUGAAACCUCUACCUCCUGGGUUCAAGCAACUCUCGUGCCUAAGAAGCUGGGACUACAGGCACACGCCACCAUGCCUGGCUAAUUUUUGUAUUUUUAGUAGAGAUAGAGUUUCACCAUGUUGGCCAGGCUGGUCUCGAACUCCUGACCUCAGGUGAUCCGCCUGCCUCAGCCUCCCAAAGUGCUGGGAUUACAGGCAUGAGCCACCACACCUGGCCUAGGAUGGAUUUUAAAGAUGGGCCCAAACAUGCAGGGUUUGACAUGAGGAUGUCGAGAGGCCGUUCCUUAGUAGGCAGUAGCAGACCUGCUGAGUGAAAGGGCCACACUUUUAGCAAAUAAACAAUCCCCUGCUUCUCCAAUACCUGCUUUCUCCCUAGUCCUCCCCAAAAGCGUGCAUCUGUGUUCACCAGCAGGUCUGCCCUGUGCCACCAGGAGAGGGCAGCAGUCACCCAGUGUACCCUGCUGCUGCCCUGUGAAUCCUAGGAUGGGACCAGCUGUGGAGAAGCAGCCUGCUGACAGCCACAGCCUGCAGCAUGGGCCGCCCUCACAGUUCUGCCUGGGCUCACUUAAAAGCACCUUUUGUUUUCCUCCUCUCUGUUUGAUCCAAACACAGAGCUCUCUGUCAUGGUCACGUGGCAGCUCUCACGGAAUCCUUGUUUCCUUCCCUAGACUACACCUAACCCUAACCUCUCAACACCUCUUGUUGAAGGCCCUCCCAUCCAGGUUGCCCUACCAAGUGAAAUUUUUUUUAGAGACAAGGUCUCUUGCCCAGGCUGUCCUCGAACUCCUGGGCUCAAGCAGUCCUCCCGUGUCAGCCUCUAGAUUAGCUGGGACUAUUCGGCACACACCACCACACCCAACGAAGUGAGUAUUUUAUAUGCCAGCUGGCUGGUAUUACACCAUUCCAUCCCAAAUCUCCCCUCCAAACUUGGUGAAAAUCAUCUGACCAUUUUUACAGAUUAGAACGAAAGCAAACAAGCUCUCACUCUGUCUGCCCCCAGCACGAGGCUGUCCACACGGAGCUUUUGGACGAGCUGUACGAGGCGCUGGCAGAGACCCUGAUGGCCAAGGAGUCCACCCAGGGCCACUGGAGCUAUUUGCUGCCCUCGGAAGGCUCGGUCACACUCUCCGAGCACAGCCAUCAUCUCCCACGGUACCACAGGCCUGGUCACAUGGGACGCUGCCCGCUACCUUGCAGAAUGGGCCAUCAAGAACCUGGCAGCCUUCACUAACAGGUGACCUCGGGGCACAGGGCAGCCGCCAUCUACCUUGCAGAAUGGGUCAUUGAGAACCUGGCAGCCUUCACUAACAGGACUGUCCUAGAGCUUGGCAGUGGCGCCGGCCUUACAGGCCUGUCCAUCUGCAAGAUGUGCCACCCCCGGACAUACAUCUUCAGCGACUGUCACAGCCGGGUCCUCGAGCAGCUCCGAGGGAAUGUCCUUCUCAAUGGCCUCUCAUUAGAGGCAGACAUCACUGCCAACUUAGAUAGCCCCAGGGUGACAGUGGCCCAGCUGGACUGGGAUGUAGCGACGGUCCAUCAGCUCUCUGCCUUCCAGCCAGAUGUUGUCAUUACAGCAGUAACCUGAAGCUUUCACCGUAGACGUGCUGUAUUGCCCAGAAGCCAUCGUGUCCCUGGUCGGGGUCCUGCGGAGGCUGGCUGCCUGCUGGGAGCACCAGCGGGCUCCUGAGGUCUACAUGGCCUUUACCGUCCGCAACCCAGAGACGUGCCAGGUGUUCACCACCGAGCUAGGCUGGGCUGGGAUCAGAUGGGAAGCGGAAGCUCAUCAUGACCAGAAACUGUUUCCCUAUGGAGAGCACUUGGAGAUGGCAAUGCUGAACCUCACACUGUAGGACUCAUACACGACUCCAACGGGAUUGUUAGAAUCAAAUCACUCUCGUGGGAAGAAUUUUUAUAUGGGAAAGCGGAUAAAACUUUCAUUGGACUGGAAUGUUUGGAGAAUGUUAAAUUCCAAAUCAGGAACCACAAUCUGCCCUCUAAUAAGACAUCGGCUAUCUAAGCAUGUGGGUGCCCCCUUUCUGCCAGCAGUUCUGGUUCUUAAGAAAAUCACCAUAAAUCAGACAUGAAAAUUCUGGCUCCAAAAAUAGCAUUUUCUUUGUGCAAAUAAAAACGUGUGUAUCAAGUAUGACGUUCCCCCAACGUGGACACACUCGGUUCCUCACAAAGCCAAGCCCGCUGCAGCUGCCACAUCCCUGGACACACUCGGUUCCUCACAAAGCCAAGCUCGCUGCAGCUGCCACAUCCCUGGACACAUUCGGUUCCUCACAAAGCCAAGCCCGCGGCAGCUGCCACAUCCCUGGACACACUCGGUUCCUCACAAAGCCAAGCCCGCUGCAGCUGCCACAUCCCUGGGCUUGUGGUGCAGCAGGUGCUUUUCUCAAGACAGGAAUCAAAGUGUUAGGAACAUGGCAGAAAGGUGACACCUGGAGACCAAAUGCAGGAUGAGGAGUACUGCAGAGGUCACAGGGAAGUCACAGAACAGUAAUACGCUAGCAGGGACAUGGGGCGUGAAGAACAGAAGAAGACAGGAAGCAUUUCUGAGACUCCAAAGAAGAAAUCAGGGCCAACCACAGCUUCCCGGGUCAUUCACCAGGUGGCACCACUGCCGUCAUUUCAGCUUCUGGCCACUGGGAGGCGCUGCUUGAAAGGGUUUGCCCUGAGACUCCAAGAAGAAGCUGCGGGAAGGACAGCAGGGGCCCUGGGGUUUUAGCCUCUGGCCCAGGAGUUAUGUGUCCAUAACCAAAGGGAGCACAGUCUGCACCCAGCUCUCAUCCCAUCAGAGCUGCUGCGACUCCCGCAGGUUCUUCCGGAACUGGUUUAGCUUGCCUUCAGGAUCAGGAAAGUUUGAGAAAAGCAUCUGCAAAAUACUGAAGAGCAGAGCUUACCUCAUUGCCUGUCCCCACCCCAUCCCAGGUCACCACCUGGAUGACCCCAGCUCCCCGACCCAACAACAACCCCUCCCAAGUCCCUAGCUCCCUCACUUGGACUUGAGACCCUUCACACCCCAGCAGCGCUCCGCCUCCAUCUUGACAUGCUUUCUGGAAACUUCCCCGUAUGUCCCACUUUCCCACACUUGGUGCCCUGGAGCACCUUCCGGCCUCUACAUGAUGUACGUUCCCCUGUGAGCACCCUCCUCUCGGCCUCUGGCCAACACAGUCCCACCCAUCUGUGGGUAACAAGGGGGUGUUCUUUUCAGCCUUGCUAAACUGUCUGAAUCAAGGAUCACAAACUACAGCCUGCAGGCCAAAUCCAGCCCACAGCCUGUGUUUGUAAAUAAAGCUUUAUUGGAACAAAGCCACACCCCUUAAUCUACAGAUGAUCUGUGGCUACUUUCACACCACAACAGAGUACCAUGGUUCUGACAGAGACUGGGGGACCCAGUCUAAA
rnacentral:lncRNA from 1 species